rnacentral:rRNA from 1 species
UACGUAGGGUGCAAGCGUUAAUCGGAAUUACUGGGCGUAAAGCGUGCGCAGGCGGCUUUGCAAGACAGAUGUGAAAUCCCCGGGGCUUAACCUGGGAACUGCAUUUGUGACUGCAUGGCUAGAGUACGGCAGAGGGGGGAUGGGAAUUCCGCGUGUAGCAGUGAAAUGCGUAGAUAUGCGGAGGAACACCGAUGGCGAAGGCAGUCCCCCUGGGGCCUGUACUGACGCUCAUGCACGAAAAGCGUGGGGGAGCAAAACAGG